UACGUAGGGGGCAAGCGUUGUCCGGAAUCAUUGGGCGUAAAGCGCGUGUAGGCGGUUCGAUAAGUCUGCUGUGAAAGUCCAGGGCUCAACCCUGGGAUGCCGGUGGAUACUGUCGGACUAGAGUACGGAAGAGGCGAGUGGAAUUCCCGGUGUAGCGGUGAAAUGCGCAGAUAUCGGGAGGAACACCAAUGGCGAAGGCAGCUCGCUGGGACGGUACUGACGCUGAGGCGCGAAAGCGUGGGGAGCGAACAGG
rnacentral:rRNA from 1 species